AUUGAACGCUGGCGGCAGGCCUAACACAUGCAAGUCGAGCGGAAACGAGAAUAGCUUGCUAUUCGGCGUCGAGCGGCGGACGGGUGAGUAAUGCCUGGGAAAUUGCCCUGAUGUGGGGGAUAACCAUUGGAAACGAUGGCUAAUACCGCAUAAUAGCUUCGGCUUAAAGAGGGGGACCUUCGGGCCUCUCGCUUCAGGAUAUGCCCAGGUGGGAUUAGCUAGAUGGUGAGGUAAAGGCUCACCAAGGCGACGAUCCCUAGCUGGUCUGAGAGGAUGAUCAGCCACACUGGAACUGAGACACGGUCCAGACUCCUACGGGAGGCAGCAGUGGGGAAUAUUGCACAAUGGGCGCAAGCCUGAUGCAGCCAUGCCGCGUGUAUGAAGAAGGCCUUCGGGUUGUAAAGUACUUUCAGCAGUGAGGAAGGGUGUGUAGUUAAUAGCUGCAUACUUUGACGUUAGCUGCAGAAGAAGCACCGGCUAACUCCGUGCCAGCAGCCGCGGUAAUACGGAGGGUGCGAGCGUUAAUCGGAAUUACUGGGCGUAAAGCGCAUGCAGGUGGUUUGUUAAGUCAGAUGUGAAAGCCCGGGGCUCAACCUCGGAACCGCAUUUGAAACUGGCAGGCUAGAGUACUGUAGAGGGGGUAGAAUUUCA
rnacentral:rRNA from 1 species